rnacentral:rRNA from 1 species
GAUGAACGCUGGCGGCGUGCUUAACACAUGCAAGUCGAACGGUGAAGGCGGAGCUUGCUCUGCUGGAUCAGUGGCGAACGGGUGAGUAACACGUGAGCAAUCUGCCCCUGACUCUGGGAUAAGCGCUGGAAACGGCGUCUAAUACUGGAUACGAGCUGCGAAGGCAUCUUCAGCAGCUGGAAAGAAUUUCGGUCAGGGAUGAGCUCGCGGCCUAUCAGCUUGUUGGUGAGGUAAUGGCUCACCAAGGCGUCGACGGGUAGCCGGCCUGAGAGGGUGACCGGCCACACUGGGACUGAGACACGGCCCAGACUCCUACGGGAGGCAGCAGUGGGGAAUAUUGCACAAUGGGCGAAAGCCUGAUGCAGCAACGCCGCGUGAGGGACGACGGCCUUCGGGUUGUAAACCUCUUUUAGCAGGGAAGAAGCGAAAGUGACGGUACCUACAGAAAAAGCGCCGGCUAACUACGUG